GUAACUGGGAAACCAGAUCCAUUGUCAGAAGCUUGCUGAAUGAGCCCAGAACCGGAAUGAAAACACUCCUGCUUGGAUGCAUGCGCUUUCUCAGAAGUGGUAGUGCAGAUGAAUCUCCUGCCGCCUCUCUCCAUCUGGACUGACAAUGUGGCAGCAAGGUACCUGCCCAGGACAGUGGAGAUGUGGACACCUGGGUGCUGGUAGAGCAGUGGAACGCCCUGGAGAAGGACAGCCUGGAGACA
rnacentral:lncRNA from 1 species